GGAAACACACUACUUGGAAAAGCUUGUGGGCCACUCUGGUAGAGACAGCCAGGAUGCUAUGGGACAUCUGAGCCUCCGUGCACAACAAGAGACCUAACCUGGGGAAUAAAAGAUCAAAGCAAUCAGGACCUAGCUCAGUCAUCCUCAAUCUUCCCAAUGCUUCAAUACAGUGCCUCCUGCUGUUGAGAUACCCCAAGUAUAGCAUUAUUUUCAUUGCUACAUCAUAACUGCAAUCUUGCUAUUGUUACAAAUUGUAAUGUGUUUUCCCAUAGACGUAGGUGAUCCCUGUAAGGGGUCGUGACCCACUGGUUGAGAACUGCUAAUCUAAAAGGACAAGGAUUAAGGGAGCUGCGGGCCUUAGAGCCCCAAAGGGACAGUGGUAAAGCAGCAUUCCUCAGCAAGGCACAAAUCAAGAGCGCCACUCCCUGGAAGAAGGGGACAUUUCCAGAGUACCCACUUCCCACCUACAGUUCCAGAGAUCCUGGAAUCUGCACUGCAGAAAGAUCUAUAGGUACUACCUCUGUGAUAGAGAACUGUGUGAAGGUUUCUGCGGUUGGUGCUGCCAGCAGGGAAGGAAGAUGGUCUAACAAUUGCUGUUGCUCCUCAGAAGGUCACUGAAUCAGAAGCAGGUUCCAGACAACUGCAUCUGAUGGUACAGGUGUCUCCCAGCCCCUGGGACAAAGCAACCCUGGAG